rnacentral:rRNA from 1 species
UAGUCCAUGCUGUAAACGUUGGGCACUAGGUGUGGGGGCUGGUUUCAUGGUUUCCGCGCCGUAGCUAACGCAUUAAGUGCCCCGCCUGGGGAGUACGGCCGCAAGGCUAAAACUCAAAGGAAUUGACGGGGGCCCGCACAAGCGGCGGAGCAUGCGGAUUAAUUCGAUGCAACGCGAAGAACCUUACCAAGGCUUGACAUACACUGCGACAUGCCAGAGAUGGUGUGGCCUUCGGGGUGGUGUAC